rnacentral:tRNA from 1 species
GGAGCUUUAGCUCAGGAGAGCGCAUGGUUUGCAAUCAUGAGGUCGCCGGUUCGAUCCUGCUAAGCUCCA